rnacentral:misc_RNA from 1 species
GGGCGUGUGAGUGGUGUUUGGAUUGUCUCUGCCGGCUGGCUCCGUGCUCGUCCACCGAACGGUCGGCAGGCAAUCCCCGUCGGUUGGCGUGGGGUGGGAUGGUGCCCCAGAGGCUGGUUCUUGUGCCGCCUACCCCCUCAAGGGAAGCGAGGCCACUUGCACUUAGCCUCCGUCCGGCGCCUUCUAACGGGCGCGGGAGGACAGCGAAGCGCCCCCGUGUUCCACCGGGCCUUCUCCGGUCGCGUGGCCCA